rnacentral:lncRNA from 1 species
GGAGGCGCUGGGGCUGUCCUGGGUCGUCACAUGCGAGAAAUCGUCUCACCCCAGCCAGUGUGACGGAGUGAGAGCAAAAGAAAGUUUUGAUAGCAGCGUACGAUUUAUAUUCAGCUGUAUGCUGGGCAGGUCCAACUUGGCAUUUCUUGGCUGUAUCUCUGAAGGAAAGUCAUCUUAAUCUCUAUGAGCCUCCAUUUCCUCAGCUGUAAAAUGGGAAGAUCUUCCUCACACUGCUGUGGUGUCUCGACUCCCCAAAGCGACAGAUGCUGUUCAUCUCUUGGCCUCUGUGUCAUCAUUCAUCCUUGAUUGUUCGGGGAAGCCCACUCCACCUCUGUGACAGACCCACAGAUGCAGAUUUACACAGGGAAUCCUAGACAGACACAAUGAAGAAACUCCCAUCUGAUCAGAGCCAAGUCCCAGUAAUAACAUCAAUGAAUCAUUGACUUCAGUGAGUCACAAUAUUGAGCUGGAAGAGGCCUCCAAGACCUUUUUAGUCCAACCCUUUACCUGCUAGUUAUUCACAAGUGAAUAGAAACUGAGUGAGGUCCAAAGAGGGAAAAUGACUUGACCAAGAUCACAAAGCUUGGUAAUGCCAAAGGUGAGACUGGAAGCCCCGAGCCCUGAGCCCCAGGCCCAUGCACUUUCCACACACCCCUCUGCCUGCCACAAACUAGCUGGCACAGAGAGCAGGAGGGAGGGCAUAGGCCCCUCAUGACUUAGCCAAGGGCAGCUCAGUGUCUCCAUGCAGGUGGACUCCGUGUGUCAGCUUCAGCCCUCCCUUGGGAAGGGAAGGGCCUGGGGCCGUCCUCACACCCCAGGCGCCAGGCCACGGAGCUAUAGGAGGCAGCUUCCUGCUUGGCCCUUAUCCAAGGCCAUUUCACAAUGGGGGGAAAAGCGCUGAGCUGAGAGUCCCGGGUUGCUGCUCACUCCACCCCCACUCCAGCCCCUUUCAGACCCCCCAGGGACAACGAGCCAGGCCCGGCCUGAGGCUUGGGGUGAAGAGAGCUGCAAGAAUGGAGACAGGCUGAACAGCCCCUUUUGGGAGUGUUCUAUGAGCUGUGUCCCUGGAACUGGACGAGGGCACCACCUUGCAUAUUACCAGCACUAUCCCCCUUCCCUUGCCGUCCACCUGCAAGCAUUCAGGCUGGGGAAGUCCCUUCUGGGACAGGAGUGGUCGCUUCCAGUCAGCCCCAUAGCACUCUCAUGAUUAGUCAGAGGGGAACCUGGAGGCAAGAAGGCCCACAAGCUGGGAGACGGCAAGGCCUGGGUCACUUCCUGCAGUGAGGCAACGUGACUACCAGGCAGAGGAGCCCAAAUGUCUCCUCCCAAGAUGCUACAGGGUCUGGGGUGAACUGUGGCUCAGCUGACUGAAAUUCAGGCAGGAACCAAGACAGAGACACUGAGACGGGACAUUCAGCCAGGAUUUAUUAUGCCCUUACACACAGGGUCGGCUCUGAGCUCAGCUCUGUAAGGGAUCUCGUUUGAAGUAGGAGGCAGUGGUUAAGGACCCAAAUCAUCCUGUCUUCAAGUCUUGAAGAGGAGACAAAACAAACCUAGGUGAAAUGUCAAACCACAAGACAAGGCAGUGUGAAAUGAGGGCCCACACUCUCAUGCUGGACAGUCCAGUAUGGCCAGUGAAGCGGGGGUGGGGAGGGAGUCACUGCAGACAAAGCUUCGGGGAAGAGAUGGAACCGAGAAUGAUGGGGAGAACUUGACUCUGCAGACAGGAUGGGAAAGAUCUUUCAGACAGGGAAAGGAAGACAAGGCAGAAAUCAACCUGCAUACGUGAGGACAGGACCCUGUUUGCACCAGGGGUGGUCAGCCACGAGGCUGGAAAUGUGCCUGGCCACAGGGCACUUCCUCACUCUGAGCUCUUGCUACUUGAACACAGCCUUCCUUGGUAUCCGUGGGAAGUUGCUGGCCUACUGAGGCAGGAUACCACACGGAGAACUAGGCAGGGGCGUGGAGGUGUCAAGGAACUCAGCCCCUUGGUGGAGGAGCCCUCUGACAACAGGAAGCAGCUGCAACGGGCUCCAGGGCUGUACUGGUAUCUGCAACUCUCCCCCUACCCUGGCUGCACCCUGCAGAACAAACUGUUCUUCAAGAAGUUCUGGGGACAGAGGGCCCACACCUGCUCCCAGGUCGGGGUGGAUAAACCCCCAUCAGCCAGGCUGGGAGCCCAGCAGAGACAUCACACAGCUCAGCAGCCCUCCUCACCCCCUGGCCCCCUGCCUCCUCCUACCCCAGACCAGGUUGCAGUUGACUAGGGCAAUAUAACACAAAACAAGAGCUUUAUAUUAUUAUUAUUAUUAUUAUUAUUUUAUAGAGACUGGGGUCUCACCAUGUUGCCCAGGCUGGUCUCAAACUCCUGGUCUCAAGUGACCCUCCUGUCUCAGCCUCCCAAAGUGCUGAGAUUACAGACAUGAGCCAUGUUACCCAGCCAAGAGCUUUGGAGAGGGAAAUGAGAACUGAAUCUUCAUAAAUACCUCAUCCUGGAACUUCCAACAAUGUCUCCAAAAAUAGUACCUAAACUCCAGGCCUCAAACUCUAAAUUGAGUGGGGAUGUGAAGUGGUUGUGGCCUUACAGAAACAGCACUGGAGUGGCAGCCGAAGUGCUGAGUUCUAAUCUGAAUUCUGCCACUCAUUGGCGUGGGACCUUGGACAAGUCACUUUUUGCCGGACUUGAGUUUCUUCCUCUGUAACUUGGGGAGUUGGGAUUGAGCUGUAAAGUCCCUUCCAGUUUUAAAUGUGAGACUCCAAUGCUGUCAGGUAACUUUGGGAUUGCUGUAAUGACUGUUUGGGGGCUAGUAUAGCUGGGAAAGAAAUUAGGAUGAGAAUCCAAUUGAGGGCAAGAUAAAAUGGAAUUGUAUUCUAUUCAGAACUUGAAAUAGGAUGGGAUUUUGUUUUCCCCAGAUCCUCACCAUAAAGAGAUUUGGGAGAAAAUCUUGGGAGAUUUGGACUCAGAAUAUCUUAAGAGGUAGUAUUCUAGAAGAUUGCCCAACACUUGGUGGGGAAGAGCAAGAAUUCUUCCAGAUUGCUUGACAAGCAGAACAUGGGGAGUGGGUCACAGUAAUACCAGGAAAGACACAUCCCAUCCUCCCAACCCUCUUUUCCACUGAAGCUGCUCCUUACAAUUCCUGUAACUGGGGACCAGGCCUUUCAUUCCAGUUACAGCUAAAACUUAACAUGGCCAUUUAAAUUUCCCUGAGGGUAUAAAUGGCUAAUAUUCUCUCCUUCUAAGACCCAGCAUAUGCUGAGAGAGGCCUUCAGAGGAGGUGGGGGCUGGAAGAAGGAGUGAAGGUGGAGGCCCAAAGAUCACGCAGGAGCCAUGCUUUUUCUGAAGCCAGAUCUAGGCCUAGCAACUCAGAGCAGUUCCCCGUGGGCAGUGAUGUGGAAGAAGGCCCUGGGCUUCCUAAGUGCCUCUAGGUCACUUUGUGAAACCUCUCACAUGGGCCUGCCUGGGAGGAGGAGCCCAGUGUAGCCCCCACCUGUCUGCUGCCUGCUCAUCUUCCAGGGUGUUGAGGGGAUGGGUAGCAUGGCUGUCUGCCCCCACCAAUUACCCACAUGGCUUGGGUCAACCAGACUCUGUCAGAGCUGUUGAAGGAGACAUAAACCUAGGCUUUUGGAGGCAGCUUCAGGGAAAGGUGGAGUGUGUGAGGUGGAAGGUGGGUGAGAAAGUGUGCAAGGGGGAACACACUGUUCUCUACUGGCCCUUUGCCAAACAGCAAGGGAGAGAGGAGUAACAAGGCCAGACUAUGGCCAUGUUUAGUGGUUUUCAACUGCGGCCCAAAAUGAGGCAGACAUAGGCUAGGCAUGGUCUAGCCCUUGUGUGUGUGUGUGUGUGUGUGUGUGUGUGUGUGUGUGUGUAGGGGGAGUGUGAGGAAGUUGUGAGGGUGUGUGGUGUGUGGGGGAGUGGUGUGUGUGGGGGGUGUGGUGUGUGUGAGGAGUGUGUGGUGUGUGGGGGAUUGUGGUGUGCGGGGGCGGUGGUGUGUGUGGUGUGGGGUGUGGUGUGUGCGUCUGUGUGGUUGUGUGUGGUGUGUGGGGAGGUGUCAUGUGGCAUGUGUGGGGGGUUGUGUGUGUGUGAGGAGUGUGUAGUGUGGGGGGGGUUUGUGUGUGCAUGGUGUGUGUGCGCGUGUGAGGGGGUGUGGUAUGCAUGGGCAGUGGUGUAUGUGGUGUGUGGGGGGUGUGGUGUGUGGGGGUGUGUGGUGCGGUGUGGGUGUGUGUGUGUAAGGAGGUAGUGUGUGUGGAUGUGUGUAGGGGGUGUGGGGUGAUGGUGCGUGUGUGGUAUGGGGGGUGUGGUGUGUGUGUCUGGAGUGGGGAGUGUGUGGUGUGUGGGGAGGGUGGGGAUGUGUGUGUGGAGUGUGGGGGUGUGUGGUGUGUGUGUGGAGUGUGGUGUGUGGGGAGGGGGCGGGUGUUGGCCUGGGUGAGCCCUGGCAAUCGCAGCAGAGAAGAUGCCAAAAUUUUGUAUUUACUGUCAGGGCAAUGAUGCUGGAACUGCAGAUCCAGCGCCCCGAAACCCGGCCCAUCCCAAGACACUGCUUCUCACAGCCAACAGAGGAAGGAGGGAGGGGGAGAGGCCUGAAGCCGAGGCUUCUUCUUGAGGAAUGCUCGCCAGGCCAGCAGCCUUCCUCACUUCAAUGCAGCCUUCCCCUUCUAUCCACCGAUGAGCAUUUAGCGGGCAACUCCUUUGUCCAGGGCAAGCCUUCCCCAGGUCUCUCUCUUCAAAAGCAGAUGCUACCUAGUGGGAGGUGCGGAGUUAUACAUGCAAGAAAGGGCUACAGGACAGCAUCACUAGUACCAAGCUGUGAAGGAGGUGGACUUUGAAGGGAAGAAAGAAUUUAGAAAAACAGACUAGUGGACUAGUUACUGCGGGGAGCAGAGUGCCAUUUCAGGCAGGAGAAGGAGUGUGAUGUGAAUCUUAGGGAAGAGUCCUCUUUGUAUGUUCUGACAACUAUUCUCUGACACCAACGGGGCAUCCUGCAAUUGGAUUCAGUGUCAAUUCUGACACUGACUACCUGCAGUUAGUGCCUGUGAUAUUGUGAAACAGGUAUUAAUUAGGUCUUCAUUCCUGACAUACAACUCCUAAAAUCCUUGGAAUCUCCUAAGUUUUAAGUGUCUUUUUGCACGCUAAGCACCUAGGUAGCUUCAAGAUGGGAGCUGGCCGCCAGAAAGAUCAAGACAGGGUUAGAGGAUUGGGACUUUCAGCCCCACCCUUCAACCUCCAGGGAGGGAAAAGGGGCUGAAGUUUAAGUUGAUCACCAGUGGCCAAUGGUUUAGUCAAUCAGGCUUAUGUAAUGAAGCGUCCAUAAAAACCCAAAAGGGCAGGGUUCAGAGGAUUUCUUGAUAGCUGAACACGUGGGGAUUCCUGGAGGGUGGAGCACCCAUGGAGGUUAAAGAAGCUCCACCCCUCCUCCAUAGCUCACCCUAUGCAUCUUUUCAUGUAUAUCUUGUGGACUAUCCUUAUAAUAAGCUAACACAUGUAAGUAAGUUGUCCCUGAGUUCUGUGAGCUGCUUUAGUGAACCCCAAUUAGCUGGUCAGACAGAGCAGCGGCGAAACAACCCAGGGCUUGCACUUGGCAUCAGAAGUGAGGAGAGGGGACUGAGUUCUCAACCUGUGUGAUCUGACACUGUCGGCAGGUAGAGUCAGAGUUGAACUGGAGGAUGCCCCACUAGUGUCUGCUGCGGAAAUGAUAGCUUGCUUGGUGGCGGGGAGAGACCCCUGCCCCCCCAUGUGGUGUCAGGAACGUGUUGAGAGAGCAUAGUAGGAAAAACCGAGUUUGGUUUUUUUACAGUGUCAGACUCCACAAGUUAAAUGUCAAAGUCCCCAAGACUACCCUUACUUCAGAACUCAGGCGCACGCAGGGUCCACAGGCUACUGGCACUUCUGUCUGACUUGACUACACAUUUGAGUUCUCACCACCCAAACUUAGGGUUCAGUAGUUGGCUAGAAUGGCUCACAGAACUCACUGAGCAUGCUAUACCUACAAUUAGUUUUAUUAUCAUAUAGACUCAGAACAGCCAAAGGGAAGAGCUAUGUAGGGCAAGGUGUUGGGUGGGGGCGGUGUGUGUGCAGAGCUUCCAUGCCCUCUCCUUGUGGAAUGUGGUAUGUCCCUCUCCCAGCACAUUGGUGUGUUCACCAACCAGGAAGCUCCUCGCAGUUUCAGUGUCGAGUUUUAUAUGGGGCUUUACUCCACAGGCACCAUUGAUGAAAUCAUUAACCACAUGACGAACUCAAUCUCUAGUCCUUCCCUCUCGCCCCAGAGGUUGGCGGUGCAGUAGGGAUGGGAGUAGGGAUGAAAUUUCCACACUCUGAUCACAUGCUUGGUCUUUCUGGCAUGGCCAGUCUCUCCCUUAAAAUUAAGGGCCCACCUUGAGUUGCCUUCUUAUCAUAACCUGAGGUAUGAUGGAAAUGCUCAUUACAAAUGACAAAAGGCGUUCCUGUCACUCAGGAGAUCCCAAAGGUUUUUAAAGCUCUGAGCCAGGAAAGGGGGACAAAGACCGAAUGGGCUUUUUAAAAAGUCAUAGCAGAGAUUGUAAUGGGCAGUUCCUAGGGAAAGGAAGUGGGAGCUGAGGAUGGAAAGGCAGGGUGGGGCAGAUGUAUAAGGUCAGAAGUUGAUGGGUACGGGGAGGAGAAAUCAGCCCUGCCCUCCUAAGGAAGUGCAGGCAGAGGAGAAGCAGUAGACACCACUCCCUCACUUGAGUGUCUUGGGGGAAUCUUUCACUCUUCCAGUAAGUUUAAUUUUCCCCUGGGUAGUUCGUCCAGGAGGAGGCAGCCUUCAGUUUCUGCUUUGGCACCAACGUCCCCACAACUCAGGUCCAGGUUCCCUCGUGCAGCCUCCUGACAUUCCCCACAGUUCAAAUACCACCUCCUUCUAGAAGGCUUCCCUGAUUACCCAAGUGGGAAAAGACCCUGCCCUGAAUUCUGAAAGCCCUUUGAAACCGUCCCCUACUGCCCCGCGGGGACGUCAAGACAACUUACUGUGACUCAUUCCUAUCUCCCCAGUUUGAUCCUGAGCACUUUGCCUUACCCCUUUCUGCUUCGUUCCAAACAGCCGGCACUGUGUGCUUCAUAGAACAUUUGUGAGCUCUGCAGACAUUCUGUCAUCAUCGGCCCCUCCUCUGCCCCUAACCAACUUGCUACCUUCCCUUGCAGAGCCCUGCCUCUGAAUAGAGUGUGAAUGUCUGCCCUGCCAGCCUGUGAGCUCCUCCAGGGAAAGAAUGUGUGUCUACCUUCCAAGCCUGACAAGCAGUGGGUGCCCAUGUGUGCGGAGUGAACUCAGUCACUUUUCUCCUAGACGGCGUCACCUUUCUCACAUUUAGGGAAAAUCAAGUGUAAGGGAAUGAGUUACUUAUUCUCGUAGAAGAAUGGGAAGAGUGAGAAGAAAGUUGGGGGUGAAGCAGGACUCACACAAAGGCAAGAUGAGAGAUCAGACCAACCUGGACCUGUGACAGGCAGGCACAUGGGCAGCAUGAACAUCCCACUAGCCUCUGGGGACAGCAUGGCAGAAAGGAGCCAUUCUGGGAAACUGUGAAACUUUCCCCUUGAAUGGCUUCCAGCCCCUUUAACAACCCCAGAGCAGCGUCCCAGCCUUGGUGAGCUGGGGUUUACUCACUCACACUCACGGUUACCACGCAGAGGCCCAGGCUGAGGGGGAAGGAACCGCCUGCUCAGCCCCCACUGAGGCCGGCCCGGUGCUCCUCUUGGCAUCACUCUGAGGGUCCUCAGUGGGCAGACCCCAGGUGGGGUGAGUUGCACAGCCCAAGAAUGAAGCUCCCUUCUGCCUCCCCUGGGCAGGUCCCAUGACUUGGAGGAAAUUGCUCCAGAGAGUGGCAACUAGACAUGAAGUGGGACACGGUGCCCAGGGUUUCUCAGUGGCCUCUGAAGCCACCCAGAGUCAGUGAGAGUAUCUUGGCCUCUCUCUGUGGGCUUCAGGGCCUCUCAGGCAGGUGUUUGUCUCUGGGAUCCCUGGAUCACGAGCCCUGUGACUCUUCCACGGCCAGCUUCCCACCCCACACCCCUGCUGAGCAUGUUACCCCGCAUCCUGGGGGAGCCACCAUUUGGGAAUAGAUUGGAUGGAGAAGGCCUGCUCCCAAGAAACAGUUAAUCCUCUCCCCUUCCCCCAGGCCCCUUGCACCUGCAGGCUGUGGUGUGUGGUUUCCCACAGCUGCAGCUGGCUCUGCAGAGCCCCUCCCUUCGAGGGAACCUGAGAGGCUCAGGGCCUGAGGCGCCAGGAGAGGCUCCUCGCCCUCUGUCCAGCUGCUGGGGAUGGCAUGAGAGGGCCUUGCUGCCCUCUGACCUGGACAUACCACAAGAGUGCUCUGGUUGAGUGACCCAUAUGUGAUUCCUGGCUUGCAAGCCAAAGGCAGAGAUUCCAGUUUGGGAGGUCAGAGAGGUUUCUGAGAAGGGAAAUCAGCCAUGAGGCCCCCCAGUCCUGGGCUUGCUCCAGCUCUGCUGCCUUCUGGAAGAAGCUGACUGGCCUGGGUGUGGGCUGGGCAUUCCCCUGGGGUAGGAUGCAGGGCUCCAGAAAGAGAGGGUGAGUGGAGGGUAAGAGGUGACUGGGAAGGACCGGGAGGAACAGGAGGAAGUGAGAUGUGGCAGGGCCAGGCCUCUGCUGGUCAAGACAGCCUUGAAGCCACGGUGCUACAACUCUGGCAGGGUCAGCCCUCUGGCUAUCCCAGAAGAGGGCAGGUUGCCACAGAGCCUGGGCAAAUACCCAGCUGCCCUCUGAACCAGGUGUUCCAGGGACACCUCCGAAUACUGCUUACACUGAGACAAUGAGACAAAAAGUGCCAGCAGCUUCCUGGCUGGGACACACCUUCAGGAGCAUUAGCCUGGAGCAGAGGCUGAACCCAUCCUAACAGCUUGCCCAUGUCCCCAGCCCCGGGCUACCGGGCAAGUGCUCACAUCCCCUGGGGACAGGUGGAUGGCACACAGGGUCAUGGCGGAGGGCUGCUCACUGGGUCCAGAGCCAGGGUCUGGGAAGAGGGAGGGAGAUGCAGGAAUCUGACAGGCUUGAGCCUCACAGGGCCCAGGGCUCUGGCUUCUCUCAGAUCCAGCUCUGGGCAAUGUUUCAGUUCAACACUCUCCCUGGGAGGCUGUGUAGCCUGGGGCUCAGGGCUUUGGUGGCGUCCUGUCUGCAGAAAAGCCCCACUCCCCACUAAGAGACAACUCCCCAUACCAGAGCAGGAAGAGAGAGGGCGAUUGAGCAAAGGAGGCCUGAGGGGAAACAGAGACACCCAUCUACAGGAGCCCCUGAGUCAGGUGUGGGAGGAGGGAGAGGCAGGGCCCAGCAGAAGCCACCGUUUGCGCCACACUCCUCUACCUCAGGCGGAGACCAGCUGCAGGGUGGCAGCCAGGGUUUGGAGGAGGUGAGGGAGCGUGCCGGCCCGGCACCCAACAGGCUUCAGUCUUGGCUCCCACACAGCUUGAUGCUCCUUUCGGGGUAUAACUGAUGCCAACCACCCAGGGCCACUGCCAGGAGUCCACUGUGUACUCAGACUGUGCUUGGCCCAUUCGCAGCAGUGCCACAGGGCCACAGGCGCAGAGCUCUGGCUGGGAGUCACUGCCAAUUUACAGUUUGCCCUCAGGUGUGUGGAGGCAAAGCCCUAUGAAAGAUUAGCUUUGCGCUCCGGAGGAGAGGGCGCAUGGCAGGUGAUCUGCCCACCAUGGCUUAUUUGUGGCUUCAUCACUGUGAUGACACUAUGUUUGGCAUUUACUCAUUAUUGUUAUCCAGACCCCACGUUAUCAAGAAAAGUACAGGAAAUCUGCCGUUGGGAGAGCGGCAGCACCCAUGUGGAGUGCCACUUUCUGAUCUGGGACUUAAACAACAUUGCUGUUUUCCUCCUUGCUCCAAGUCAUCCAUUUUGACAAUUUUAUAUCAGCAUGGACCCUUCACCAAGACUGAAAUAACUCUGUUAUUGAGGUUGGGAACACGGAGAUGAAUAAAACAAGGCCCCUGUCCUGGGAGAGCCGAGAGGCCACCUGUCAGCUGACAUCUUAGGGAGGACACCAUCUACAUCCAACCCUGACUACUGAACACUUCCAGUUUCUUGGAAGAAAGAUUUUAAAAUCUUCAGAAAUGAGAACUCCUCCAAAUAGGAUUUUCAUUUGUUUCAUAUAUUUUAAAAUUUUAUAUUUUAAUAUGUAACAGUCAUAUGGUUUAAAUAUAAAAAUGACAUCAGUGGCUCAGUAAGAAGUUUUCCUCCUAAUUUUUCCCUAACAGUUCCCAAUUUCUGAUAUAAAAAAUGUUAUAUCCUUGCAGGAUUUACUUAGGUAAAUACAUGUUCUUAGUUUUCCUCUUCAUUAUUCCAAAGGUUGUUUACUGCAAGCAUGGUUUUUCUUGCUCAUACAUCCUGGAGAUUGUCCCAUAUCCACACAGAGAAGGUUCCCCAUUUUUUUCUUACAGCCGCAAAGUGUUCCUUGUUCUAAACCAGGUUUCUAUUGAUAGUACUGGGUGGCUGGUCCUCAAUCUUUUGCUCUCAGACUGUGCCAUGUAUGUCCUUUCAGAGGGGGGCAGGUACAUCUGUAGGAUGGGUUCAAGGGUUUGUAAUUGAGAGAGAGAUUGCAAAUUGUCCUCCACAGAGGUUGCACUGCUUUCAUCCCCACCAGCAAUGUAUGAAAAGGCCUGUUUCCUGUUUUCCCUAUCAGGCUGAUAUUUAUUUAUUUAUUUGUUUAUUUACUUAUUUAUUAGAGCCAAGGUCUCACUCUGUCACCCACGCUGGAGUGCAAUGGCGUGAUCAUAGCUCUCUGCAGCCUCAAACUCCUGGGCUCAAGUGAUCCUCCUGCCUCAGCCUCCUGAUUAGCUGAGACUACAGAUAUGUGCUACCACACCCGACUAAUUUUUCACUUUUUGUGAAGACAGUGUCUCGCUAUGUUGCCCCGGGGUGUGGGGGGAGUUCUCUAACUCCCGGCCUCAAGCAAUCCUCCUGCCUCUACCUCCCAAAGUAUUGGGAUAAGCUAAUAUUUUUAAAGAGAAAGGAAGGAGGCAAUAUGAGGCCUCUAAAGAAGAGAGGUAGGAAGAAGGUGAAGCCCAGAUGCCUGGAGCACACAGAGCUGCAGCCACUGCCUGCAGCUUUGCUUAUGAGGGGGAUUGAGUUUCUUCAGGCCAUGAUGUUUGAUUUGUGUUUGGAGCAGUAAGCCUUACAGCUGAUAAAUGGUUUUUUUCUCCUGGGGGAGCACGAGACUCUAGGAAGAUAAUCUAUUAGGAGAACCUGAGGGAAGAGAGUUUAGUUGGUGCAUGUGGGUGUGAGGUUGUUUCUCGGUCCCUUCAGGCUGCUAUUGCAGAAUACCAUAGACUGUGUGGCUUAGAAACAACAGAACUUUAUUUCUUACAGUUCUGGAGGGUGGGAAAUCCAAGAUUGAGGUGCCAUCAGAUUCGGUGUCUGGUGAGAGCCUGUUUCCUGGCUCAUAGACAGCACCUCUCACUGUCCUCACCUGGUGGAAGGGUGUCGCUGGGGACUGAGUGUCUUCAUUUUUAUCAGUGCUUCUUUUGUAAGGGCACUAAUGCCCUUGUGCGGGCUCCACCCCCAUGACCUAAUCACCUCCCAAACAGCAUCACCUCAGGGAUGAAGAUUUCAACAUGUGAAUUGUGGGGGACACAAGCAUUCAGAACAUAGCAGGUGGCAUAUGAAAGUGCAGACCACCAUAUCCAGCAAAUACAUAUGCAUUUCCAAUAGUCAGGGGAAGAGACAGAGGGAGAGGUGGAGGAGGGUGGAGAAGAGGACAAUCUUCUCUGAGGAGGUAACGUUUGGGCAGAAUCCAAUUCAUAGAUCUGGGAAGAAAAGUUCCAGCAAAGGGACAAGCAAGGGUCAAGAUCCUCAGGGGAAGGAGAGGAGAGGGGCCUGCUCAAGACAGUGAGUGACCUUGGAGGAAUUGGGACAGGGAAGGCAGUCAGCAAAGCUGGGAGUCGGGGGGGUGCUGGACCAUGGGGAGCCUGGAAGGCCAUGGCAGGGAGUUUGGGGUUUAUCUUAAGAAUAAUGAGAAAAAGAAACUGGUCAGAAAAACCACAUAUUGCAUUUUUCCAUUUCUACAAAAUAUCCAAAAUAGACAAACCCAGAGAGACAGAAAGCAGAUUCGUGGUUGGCUGGGGCUGGGGAGAUUGGGAGGAAAUGGGGAGUGACUAAUAAUGGGUGCUGGGUUUCUUCUGAAGGAUGAUUACAAUGUUCUAAAAUUGAUUGUGGUGAUGGUUGCACAACCCUGCAAAUAUACAAAAAAAAAAAAAAGCCCAUUGAAUUGUAUACUUUCAGUGGGUGAAUUAUAUGAUAUGUGAAUUACAUCUCAAUAAAGCUGAUUUAUUUAUUUAUUCAUUUAUUUAUUUUGAGACAGGAUCUUGUUCUGUCGCCUAGGCUGGAGUGCAGUGACGUGACACAAUCACAGCUCACUGCAGCCUCGACCUCCCAGGCUCAAGUGAUCCUCCUACCUCAGCCUCCUAAGUAACUGGGACUAUAGGUGCAUGCACCACCAUACCCAGCUAAUUUUUAAGGUGUUUUUUUUUUUUUUGUAGAGACAGGGGUCUCACUAUAUUGUCCAAGCUAGCCUCAAACUCCUAGGCUUGAGUGAUCCUCCUGCCUUGGCCUCUCAAAGUGCUAGGAUUAUAAGCGUGAGCCACUAUGCCCAGCCUUGUUAUUUUUUAAAAAAGGAUUUUAAAAAAUUAUAAAAAGGAUAAUAGGAAGCUGUUAGAGGGUGAUUUAAUCAGCAGUAACAUUCUCACUCAGGCUGUUGUGGGAGAACAAACUGUAGGGAGGGGAGAGUGGGGGCAGGAGAUGGUUGGGAAGCUAGUGCAGUCGGCCAGGCAAGGAGCAAUAGUGACUUGGCCUGGGUGGGUCACUUUGUGAUGAGGAUUAAUGAAAAGGCCAGACUGGGGUAUUUUUUGAAGCUAGAGUUUGAUAAUUGGUUGUGAGGGGUGGGAGAGAGAGAUGAAUCCUGGCCAUUUAACUGCAGUGAAAAGACUGGAGGAAUAGUUGGACAAGCGGAGGGACGGGGCAUACGAGUUCUGUUUUGAACAUGACAGGCCUCCGAGGUGUCCACUAGGCAGACGGGAUGUCAGGGCAGGGUUACCACCAUGUAGAUGGUCACUGCUAAGAGCUGGGCACUCCUCCAAACACAUACAUUAAAUCAUUUAGUCUUCUCAGUAACCUAUGAGGCGAGAGCUGUAGCUAUCCCUGUCCAUAGGGGGCGUAUCCUGUGUGCCAUUUCAGAUGCCCGCGGCCUCACCUCUUGUUCCAGCCAUUGCCCCAGUGACCAGUUUUGCACAGGUCUUGACCAGUGCCGUGUAAAUGUCGCCUGGCAGGGCCUCUCCACAUGCCUCUCGCCCAACACCAUGAUGGGGGGACACCCAUGGAACCUGCUUGGCAUUAACACAUGAGCCGCCCAGAAGUGAAGGGGAGCUAACAUUCCAUGGGAUGACUCGAGAGGAGCCAAUGGAUAACUGUCCCCCUUCUUCCAGUGAGUUCUGAAGUACGUUUCAUAAAGCUUCACAGAAAGACUGAGUGGUGUUCACUCAGAGAGAUGUUAACACACUCCCAUAUUGACUCCCCCCUUUCUCUGUUUCAUUCCUCCUCCCCCUCACCCCUGCUCCCUGGGAUCAUGUUCCCAAAUAAACUACUCAUGCUUAAGCCUUUGUCUCAGGCCCCAUGUAAGAUCUGAUCUUACAUGGAGAAUUUAACAGCAACAACAUCACACCAGGGGCAUGCUCACCAGGGGCAGAGCAGGGGUUCACACCCCGGCAAGCUUCUCUACUCGCUUCCAUGUUGCCUCUCAAAGAUCCCAACCUCUAGAGGACAUUUAAAGGCACAGGCCUAGAUGGAAUCUAACCAUCUAACCGGGAGAGACUGUAAAUAAGAAAAAAGUCCCCACACCAUGCUCACAUUUAGAGAUCAAGAAGAGGAGGAGCCAGCGAAGGAGCCAGAGAAAGAGCUGCCAUCCGGGUAGGAGGAAGCCAGACCAGUGUGGAGUCCUGGACUCCAAAGAAAGACAGCGUUGCAAGGAGGAGCGAGUGCCCUACUGUGCAAACGCUGCUGAGAAAUUGAGGAGGUGAGACCAGGAGACAGACCUUUUGGAUGCGCCAGUAGGAGGUCACUGGUGACUUGGACAAGGGCAGUUUCAAUGGAGUGACAGAAACAAAAACUUGGCUGGUGUAGGCUAAGAGGGAAUGGAGGUGAAGAUUCGGAGAAGUAGCCAGCAGGGACAACCACUUCAAGGAGGGGUGCGUAAAAGGGAGGAGGAAGUGGAGCAGAAGCUGAAGAGGGUGUAGGGUCAAGGAAGAGUUUGUUUUGAAAGUGAGAGAGAUCAUAGCGCAGUUAUGUGCCGAAGGGAAUGGUCUGGCAGAGAGAAGGAGCUGGAUAGUGCAGGAGGGAGAAAGGUGAUUUCAGGCAGUCUUGAGUAAGUGAAGGGAUAUGGUGCACAAAAUGAAGGGAUUGGCCAGGGAUGCAAGAGGAGGCCAUCCCUCCAUCUGUCCAUCCAUCUAUCCAUCUGUCCAUCUGUCUGUCCAUCCAUCCGUCUGUCCGUCCGUCCGUCUGUCCACCCAUCCAUCCAUCCAUCCAUCUGUCCGUCUGUCCAUCUAUCCUUCCGUCCAUCCAUCCAUCCAUCCAUCUAUCCAUGCAUGCAUCCAUUGUGAGGAAGAAAGGUAGCAGCGGGCAUAGAUGCAGGCACCUUGGGAGAUCUGAUGGUGAGAGGCACGUACGUUCCAGCAGAUGACAUUUAGUUUCUCAGCAAAAUAAGAAGCAAGAUCUUUAACUAACAGCGAGAAACUAAGGGAAGGUGUUGAGGGUUGGAGAAGAUGUGAAACACUUAUCUGGAGAGUGGCGCAGUGAAUUUAGUAGAGAAAUAUAGUAAGAUUACUGGGCAAGCUGAGCGCCCACUUGAAGUUUGUGGUCAGAAGCGUCAAGUGCGGCUAUUCAGUAUGACUGUGAGUUUCCCCGGCAAUGCUCAGCUACUCAGUGCAGGUGCAGGGUGUUGGGUUUAAGCAGGGUGGAGGCUGUGUCAGGAGAUUCCAAAUGAAGGGAAAAGAGCAAGAAAGGAGAGGGCUUCCACAAAUGGGUGAUUCUUGUCAAGGCCUACAGAAUUGAGCUGGAGAAGGGGGUUGAAGGCAGUGAAAAAGGACAAGUUCAAAGGCAGGGAGUUCCCAAAGGGGACACAUCAUUGAAUGGAGGUAAUAGAGUAGAUAAGCUGAGAGCCGAGGAAGGGGUGGUCAGGGAGCAGGGGGUUCAGAAGUGCUGAGGCAAAACCCUGGCCAUGGGAGUGGGAGGCCCAGGCAGCAGAACGAGAGGUGGAGAGUGAGGAGGCCAAAGACCAAGAGUGGGAGGUGCUGGGUGGACAUCUACAUGGAUGACCUUCCUUGUCCACCAUCUCUUAAACAGCUCCCCAUCCUGCCACUACCCCUUCAUCUGCCUUUUCCUUUCAUAGCCCCUCUGUCUAACAUUAUUUUACGUAGGACUGGUUCAUUGGUUAAUUAUCCUUGCUGCCAUCAGAAUGUAAGCAUCUGAGGGCAGGGACAUUUUCUCUCUGGUCUACACUUAUAAACUCUUUUCUAAGAACAUACCUGGCACAGAUUAGGUGCUCAGAAACAUGUGCUGGACAAAAGAAUGAAUUAAUGUUAAGGUCUAGGAAAAGCAUGGAGGAGUGGUGGUGGAGAGGAAGACCGUGGGCCAGGUACUAAAAUCUGUGAAUGAGCAGGAGUGGCCUAGAGUAUGGUAAAUACUAGAAGGGAUGGUGGAUGGUCUGGUCUGAUGGCAUAGCUGCAAAGGAGAUGCAGACUUAGGCUGAGGAGGAAGGGGGAGAAACCUACAGGUGGCCAUGAAAGCAGGGAGGACAACUCGCUGCCUCCAGGCAUACUGAUGUGGAAGAAGAAAACAGAGCCAAGACAGGAGGUGGCUGCAAGGAAGCUGUGUGUGGGGGUCAGGCAGGUUUGCAGUAGAACAGGAUGGUGAAAGGAAUGUUCAAAGGGAAAGUCGAGUGGAUGGGGAGAUUUUGCUGAUGACAAACCAUAAGUUCCCGAGAGCAGAGUGAAAGGAUCUGGGGGAUUGUGUCAGAUUAGGGGAAUAGAGCUACAUGGGGGUGAAAGUCUUGGGGGUGAAGGAUGAACAACAGUGUCAGGCUUCUGGAGGUGUCUAGGGACACAAGGCCACAGGGCAUGAUGGGCUCUCCUGAAGGUCUCUCUUGGGCAAGUGGGUACCCCUGCUCACGCCAGCUCCUCCUCCAGCCAGGGCCCACGGGCCAUGGACCACAGUGAGGCAGUGAUAUUGGCGUUGGAGGGGCCUUGCCAGACACUGAGUGUUCGGGGUGGGAGGAGAGGGCAGCUUUGGGUAUUGGAAGGAAAGUCGAGCAGGCACUCCGGAGACUAGAUUCUCAUCCAAAUCUUUCCUACAAACCAUGACGUAACAUUGGGCAAAAUGGUCAUGAUUUUCCUUAUCUAUAAAAUAGAGAGGAGAGGAGGUCUCUCUUAGCUGUGCAAAUCCUGGCCUCUGUCUCCUUCUUUCCCUGACUUCUUCUAGCUCCUGUCUCCUCAGCCCUCCCGACUUGUAGCUAAGCCCUGGCUUUGUAUUAACCACCCUCCUGCUGUCAGCAUCGCUGAGAGGCAUAGCCAAGGCCUGCCCUCUUCCUCCUCCCUGGCUCCAAAAUGCUCCAUGCACUGUCCCAUGCCACUCUGAUCCUGAGCAGCCAAGUGGGCAGAAUGACACUCCUUUGGGCGUGGAAGUGAACAUCAGCCAUGAGUAGGGAGAGGAAACUGCCCACAGAGAGGGCAGACUCCAUCAGGGGCAAGUGACAAAGCCACAGACUGGCAUGAAGAGGCUUCCCAGGCCCUCUGGAAGGCAGUGAAGCCAGCAGCCUGGCUCCUGGGAUGGGCUGUCCCCUAUUCAGCAGCUCCAUGGGCCUGGAAGUGGGCCCAGGGAGCCAGCCAGAAGGAGGCUGUGGCCAGAGGCUUGAUUUGCAGCCCAGGACUAGGACGCAGGGUUCUCAUCCAGGCUUCACCCACAGCAAAUGUGCGACUCUCCCUGGCCCUCUGGGUGGGGAUUAUAAUAACUACCUUGCUUACCCCAGUUGCUGGAGGCCAAUAUUCACUGAACAUUCAUCAUGAGUCAGGCAUUCAGUAAUCCUCACAAUGGCCCUAGAAAUUGGCCUGUACUAUUUUCAACCCUUAGGGAGGAGGUGACAGACACAUAGAACAUCUAAGUAACUUGCCUGACACUCCACAGCUUGUAAGUGGCAGGGCCAGGCUCUUAGCCCUAAACCAUACAUUAGAGAUUUAUUAUCAUUUAGGUCCCUCAACAAUCUUGUGAUGCAGGUAUUACCAUCCAUUUUACAAACAUGGCAAUGGCUCAGAAGUCUUCAGUUAUUUGCCCAGGGUCACUUGGCUGACUGUAGCAGAAUCAGGAUUUGAACCCAGGCCCAACUUCAAAGCCAGUCCUCUUCUCAUUGGGUUGCGCCCCCAGCAUUAGCACAGGGACAGUUCCUCAGGCUGACUGCCCAAGGCCCCAUCUGUGCAAACAGGAGAGGAAAUGGCAGCCUAACUCCAGGCAGGGCCCGGGCUCAGAAGGGGGUCUACAGGGCUGAAGAGGCAGCUGGCCAGAGAUUCCACAGGAAGCAUCUUGUUGACACAUCUUCAUCACUUUGGAAUUUGAGCAACAACAUUUACCCCUUCUGAAACUCACCCAGAGGAAGCGGAUUUUCUGACGCAUAUGAAGAGUGAGAACUGUCUACAUCUAAGUCUUCUUUGAGAACAAUACCAGCUGAGCGGCUAUUUACAUUCCAGCUUCUUUUGAGAAUCUCUGAAGAUGAUUAAGUCAUUGUCAGCUGGCCCAGAACCAUAUCCUGCUCCACAAGCCUCGUCCUUGGCAAGAAGUUGCACCUGCCCAGAGAGAAAACCUUUUGAAACUGGCACAAAGGCACUGGAGAGACUGGCAGGGCCCCCUACUUGACGAUCUGGCUCAUCCAUCUGCACACUGACCACGCUAAGAGCUGUCUGCAGUGAUGGAAACCUUCUCUAGCUGUGCUGUCCUCUAUAGUGGCACCAGCUGCCUGUGGCUACUGAGCACUUCAACUGUGGCUGCAGAGACUAUGUUAAAUUGUAUUUAAUCAUAAUUAAUUUAAUUGUAAACAACUACAUGUGGCUAGUGGUUUCUGUACUGGGCACUGCAGGUGCACAUUUCCUGCUGGCCAUGGACAGUAAGCUCCAUAAGAGACUAAUUGUGCCUGGUUUGCUUAUAGGCUUAUCCUCAGCACCUGCACCAGCCUAGAAUAUGAUUGGCACUCUAUUAAUUAAAAGUUCCCAGGUAAAUGAAUUAGUGGAUUCUCUGUUUCCUCCACUAUGCCACAACCUCCUUAAGGGCAGAGAUGGUGUCUUCAAAAAAAAAAAAUUCUGGUCAAAAACACAUAAGAUCUACCACCUUCACCAUUGUUGUGUCCAGUUCAGUAGUAUUAACUACACUUACAUUGUGAUACAACAAAAGAUUGUGUCUUUUUACAUUCUUAGGACCCAGCACAGUGUCUGGCACAUAAUCUUAGUAAACACUGGCAGAGCACAUGCCUUUGCCAAGGCCAGAACAGAGGUUCAGUGCCAUCCAUUACCACCCUUUCACACAUCCACUGGGGCUUUAAAAACAACCUGGAAUGAAAGCUGUUGAGUCUAGAGAAAUGGGCUACAAAGAAGGUUUACAAGAUAAUCUAUUAAGAAUAGGGAAUACAGGCCGGGCACGGUGGCUCACACCUGUAAUCCCAGCACUUUGGGAGGCUGAGGUGGGUGGAUCAUUUGAGGUCAGGAGUUCGAGACCAGCCUGGCCAAUGUGGUGAAAUCCUGUCUCUACCAAAAAUUAUCCAGGCAUGGUGGUGCGUGCCUGUAGUCCCAGCUACUUGGGAGGCUGAGGCAUGAGCAUCGCUUGAACCCGGGAGGCAGAGGUUGCAGUGAGCCGAGAUCGCGCCACUACACCCCAGCCUGGGUGACAGAGCAAGACUCCGUCUCAAAAAAAUAAAAAAACCUAAAAUAAAGCUUAAUACACAUGACAUAUGGAUUGGCAGUCACACAUAAAUAUGAUUGAUAAGGAUACAAAUAUUUGGAGGUGCUGCCUGACCAUCUGUUGCUGAUUAUGUGGAGAUCACUUGUCUAGGACCCUGAGAUAGACUGAUGUUUCUAACUCUGCCACACACGGUCUCUCCCACCCUCCAGACACUUUCUUCCUUCAGUUCAGGGAACCCUCAAUACACAGUAAGAAUGAAGAGGUUGCAGGUCUGAGCUUGAGGAGGACUGGACUAAAAGGAGUUUAGCCCUGCCAGGGCAUUCCGAGGACUGUGAAGAUCCGGAAUAUUGGCCACAGGCAUCUAUGUAUUUGAAUCAUAUCCAUUUUUGAGCUCACUCCUAGCAGAGGAGUCAAAACUUACGUUCUGGCCCCCAGGUACAUUUCCAGUCUCUUACUCAUAAAAUUGUGACAUACCCCCAGGGGUGCCCAAAGGGGUUUGUGAAUCAAGAUAGUUUGAGGAGAAUCGAUUUUCUGAUCCUCAGUUUUUCUAUGCUCUUUUUCCUAAAAGCGAUAUUCCUAAAAAGGCAUCCAAGACAAGGCAUCCCCUUUCCCAUUUGCUGGGGAAGACAGCUUUACAAGAGAAAGCUGCCCCUCUCACCCAUGUGACCCCCCACUCUGGGGCACUGCCCUAGGGGUAGAAAUCUCCAAGGCAUCAAACAAAGUGACUCCUGGGGGUCAAGUGACAGAGGAGCAAGUCUUUCUGCAAGUCAAGUGGUUUCCAGCUCUGCUUUCAGCAAAAUUGAAAGAGGCACUAAUCAAAUUGCCAGCGGAUCAUAAAAAAACAUUUUGAUAAUAAUGUUAUUAGGCAUAUAACUUGGAAGAAGUUCAAAGAAUUGAAUGGCAUCCUCAUAACAAACUCAUCGGCUUCCAUUUAUUUAUUUAUGUGGACAGUGUUUCUCAAUGUUUAAACCUACAAAAGACUAAACAUGGGAGUAAACUUCAUGUUGAACCUUGUGUGAGUCUAGCAAUAAGUCAUCCACAUAUACAUACACUAAUUGGGAAGAAAACCUGUCCCAACCCCAACUAUUUUAUUAAGAGAUGCAUUUCCAAUAAAAAUUUACCUUUUAUGUUUAAUAGUUGUUUAUCAAAUUUCGUAAUUAUUUACAUUGCUCUGAUCAAUUGGAUAUAAACUAUUCUAACACUAAACUCAUAACCAAAAAAUUAAUGCUCAGCUUUGGGAACAGAGGAAUUUUUUUUUUUUUUUUUUUUUUUGAGAAGGAGUCUUGCUCUGUUACCCAGGCUGGAGUGCAGAGGCGCAAUUUCAGCUCUCUGCAACCUCCACCUCCCGGGUUCAAGCGAUUCUCCUGCCUCAGCCUCCCAAGUAGCUGGGACUACAGGUGUGUGCCAUCACGCCUAGCUAAUUUUUGUAUUUUUAGUAGAGACAGGGUUUCACCAUGUUGGCCAGGAUGGUCUUGACCUCUUGACCUCGUGAUCUGCCCCUCGGCUUCCCAAAGUGUUGGGAUUACAGGUGUGAGCCACCAGUCCCGGCCAGAAGUUUUAAUCUUUAAAUUUUAUUUAAUACAAUAAUCAAUCAAAGAUUUUUCUUUCUUUCUUUUUUUUUUUUUUUUUUUUGAGACAACUUCUCCCUUUGUUAGUCAGGCUAGAGUGCAGUGGUGCAAUCAUGGCUCACUGCAGCCUUGACCUCCUGGGCUCAAGCCAUCCUCCUGCCUCAGCCUCCCCAAAGUACUGGGAUUACAGUCAUGAACCACCAUGCCUAGCCAAUAAAAGAUUUUCAAGCAUAAAAAAUAAAUACAGGCUGGGUGCUGUGGCUCACACCUAUAAUCUCAACACUUUGGGAGGCCGAGGUGGGCGGAUCAUUUGAGCCUAGGAAUUGGAGACCAGCCUGGGCAAUAUGGUGAAACUGUGUCUCUACAAAAAAUACAAAAAUUAGCAGGGCAUGGUGGUGCAGGCCUGUAGUUCCAGCUACUCAGAAGGCCGAGGUGGGGGAAUCACCUGAGCCCAGGAGAUUGAGGCUGCAGUGAAUCAGGAUCACACCACUGCACUCCAGCCUGGGCAACAGAGCAAAACCCUGCCUCAAAAAAAAAACAAACAAACAAACAAAAAAAAACCCUUACAUUAGCAUAAAAUCUGUAACAGGAGUGAAAUGGAAAUACAAGUUCUUGGAGAGAACGAAAUAAUGUAAACUUCUAAGCUGUUUAAUUAGCGUUUGUUCCCCUAUUUUUUUUAAUGGAUAAUGUUGGACACAGAAUUGCUCUGGCAUUUAGAUUCCAUUGGACAUUUAAAAGAAAGAUACAAUUUGUAUUUGAAAAUAUCAAUAUUCAUUUUUCUUUGAAUUUUUUGACUAUAAAAUAUAAUAAAGGCAUAUAGAAAGUGAAAAAAUAUUCAUAAAAUGCUAAAAAGGAUAUCCUUUGGAACUAUUUAAAUUUCUGAUGGAAAAUUUCAAAUGCCAACUUAAAUACAAGAGGGUAGGUCAUGUAAAAAAAUUAUUUAAGGGGCUUUGAAGGCGGCUGUCUGGGGAGUUAAGGUCUUGUGUCUCCAGUGCCCUCUCUCACCCCUAAGGUACUGGGUGGGCCUCUGGAGGUACAUCUGCCUAUACAAGGAAUCUUUGAUGUAGCAAAAAAAAAACACAAAACACAAAAAACCCUCACAGCAUGCCCUGCCCUUGGGCUCUGGAAACCACCGUCCUGCCUGCCCCACUCCUGCUCUCAGCCCCCUCCUCAGGCCUAAGCCUCCCCAACCCUCCCCACCCCCCACCCCACUGCCCCACCCGCAGUCCACCCCGCUGUCGCCUCCCAGCCCUGGCCCGGCCAGCCCUGGAGUAAAUAAACCACCGGGCAAGGACCCAGACAAUGGGCCUUGGCAAGGAGUUAAUGGGCUGGGCCUCUCGCGUUAGCCGAGUGUGACCGGAGCUGGCAGGGGGCCUGGCCUGGCGCCAGCAUCGAUUACGACCAGACGGAGCCAGGGCAGACUUGGCACGAAUGGGCCCCACAGCUGGCAGAUUCAGUCACCCUGGCCACAAGGGCACGAGGCCUGCCCUGGGCGCCGGCUGCCACCGCGGCUGUGCUCCCUGCCACCGCCUUCACUGCCAGUGUGGCAGGGCCGCUUGUCAGGCACUCAGUCCCUAGGCCCUUUUGGUUCUCCCCAGGGGAUUGUCCCUGGUCAGGCCUCUUCCUGUCCCAGGCUGCCUCUGAGGCUGCUCUGUGGCCCCACAGACUGGGUGCAGAGCGGGGGUGGGGUAGGGGGAGGCUGAGGGUUGGGCUGGGGGAUGCAGCUGUGACGCCCCUGCCCCCGGCACUCCCACCACUCCAGGACAGAGGGAGGCUGCUGAGCCAGGCUGGUGUUGGUCAGCAGGAAGAACAGCAACGGGGCCUCAUGAUGUUGCCUAGGCUGGGCUCCAGCUCCUGGAUUCAAGCAAUCCUCCCACCUUGGCCUCUCAGUGUUUUGGGAUUACAGGUGUGAGCCACCACGCCUGGUCUCAAGCCUUCGCUUUCGCAAUCAGCACUAAAGGCAGCCAGAAAUCAACCGUGCGCCACCCCCGACCUGAGAAACAAGUCUAAAUGUGUCCGGAAUUGGUGGGUUCUUAGUUUCACUGACUUCAAGAAUGAAGCCGCGGACCCUCGCGGUGAGUGUUACAGCUCUUAAGGUAGCGCGUCUGAAGUCUGUCCCUUCUGAUGUUCACACGUGUUCCGAGUUUUUUCCUUCUGGUGGGUUUGUGGUCUCGCUGGCUUAGGAGUGAAGCUGCAGACCUUCGCGGUGAGUGUUAUACCUCUUAAGGCAGCGCGUCUGGAGUUGUUUGUUCCUCCCGGUGGGCUCGUGGUCUCAGGAGUGAAGCUGCAGAUCUUCGCGGUGAGUGUUAUAGCUUAUAGCUCAUAGACGCAGCGUGGACCCAAAGAGUGAGCAAUAGCAAGAUUUAUUGCAAAGACCGAAAGAACACAGCUUCUAUCAGCCUGGAAGGGGACCCGAGCGGGUUGCCAAUGCUGGCUUGGGCAGCCUGCUUUUAUUCUCUUAUCUGGCCCCACCCACAUCCUGCUGAUUGGUAGAGCCGAGUGGCCUGUUUCGUCAGGGCGCUGAUUGGUGCGUUUACAAUCCCUGAGCUAGAUACAAAGGUUCUCCACGUCCCCAUUAGAUUAGUUAGGUACAGAGUUUCCACACACAGGUUCUCCAAGGCCCCACCAGAGCAGCUAGAUACAGAGUGUCGAUUGGUGCACUCACAAACCUUGAGCUAAACACAGGGUGCUGAUUGGUGUGUUUACAAUCCCUGAGCUAGAUAUAAAGACUCUCCACGUCCCCACCAGACUCAGGAGCCCAGCUGGUUUCACCUAGUGGAUCCCGCAAUGGGGCUGCAGGUGGAGCUGCCUACCAGUCCUGCGCCGUGCGCUCGCAUUCCUCAGCCCUUGGGUGGUCGAUGGGACUGGGCGCCGUGGAGAAGGGGGCGGCAUUCGUCGGGGAGGCUCGGGCCGCACAGGAGCCUACGGAGGGGGUGGGAGGCUCAGGCAUGGCGGGCUGCAGGUCCCGAGCCCUGCCCCGCGGGAAGGCAGCUAAGGCCCAGCGAGAAAUCGAGCACAGCACCGGUGGGCCGGCACUGCUGGGGGACCGAGUACACCCUCCGCAGCCGCUGGCCUGGGUGCUAAGUCCCCCAUUGCCCGGGGCCAGCAGGGCUGGCUGGCUGCUCCGAGUGCGGGGCCCACCAAGCCCACGCCCACCUGGAACUCCAGCUGGCCCACAAGGCCGCACGCAGCCCCGGUUCCCACUCGUGCCUCUCCCUCCACACCUCCCU